CUCACGUUAAAAGAAUAUAUGCCGUUCUCUUUUCUUUAGCGUAAAACGAGUAAUUACUUCAGCGCUAUAUAGUUUCAGCCGUUCCCCUUCUUUAGCUUAAAAGUGAAAAUUCAGUAAAAAAUCAGAGCGCUAAAAGUGAGAAUUUUUCCCUCCCAAACUCAUCAAAACCUUCACCGUUUGAUUUUUCAGAAGCUAAACCAUAGACCGUCCAGUGUAUCUUCUCCCUAACCCCAACCAUAUCCCUUUCUUCCCUUCACCUUCUUCUCAAACCCUUCAACUUGCAACUCAGAAUUAGAAUUUUAGGGUUUCAUGGAAUCAUCUCAAUCAAACCUUUGAAGUAAGUCUUUGACGACAAUAUUGAUUCCCCUUAGAGCUGCAAGGGUCAUAACACGCUGUGAACGAAAACUCAAAUAUAGAGGAUUUUUCAUUUUCAAGUUGUGUAUGAUUCGUCUUUUUGUCGCCCCAGAAUCUGCAGAUUCCUCCAAAAUAAUUACUACUGUUGAUGUCCAUCAGUUUUUCGACGACAUUAAGAAUAAGCGUCGCCGUAUAAAGAUAUAAGACAUCAAAUGAAACUACUUGGCAUAGAAAGAAUUUUAUAAUUUUGCCUCUGUUUCAAAGGUGGAUGUUGUUAUAAGUUUGUUGUCUCCUAGUUGUCAUAUUAUCGUAGCAAGUACUUGCAUUGAGGGAAAUCACAAAACUAAAAAAAGGCAUGCAGCUGAGGUCUGACUAAUAAUCAAAUCAUGAAUGAUGAAGAGACGUAGAUGUGAAAAUGUAGAUGUUUAAGUAUACUUUUAAAGAUUCAAGAUGUUAGUUUAAUUAUGAACGAUGAUUGAUAAGAUGAUAUGUAUAUUAAAGAUGUUUUGUUGAUUGUAAAUCAUGAUUGACAUUGAGAUAUGUAAA